AAACACAAUACAAUGACAGUGAUAAUGAUAUUAGUGAGA
rnacentral:guide_RNA from 1 species